rnacentral:rRNA from 1 species
AUGGCCUCUGCACUAGGAGCCUCUCCAUGGCCUCCUACCCAUCCCCCCCACCACCAUAGGUGCACACAGACGGUGGAUCCGUGCCGGAGAAGAGCAGCUCCAGUUAUGGUGGGGUGCAUCUGUGCCGAAGAUGAAGGAGGCCCGCCGCCCGUCUUUGCCUCGUCGCUGCGUCCUUGUUGCUGCUCCUCCUCUCUCUCUCCGCACCUAGCAGUGCAGCAGCCGGGACAAGGGGAAGGAGCAGCCCGACCCGGCUCCAUCUCUCUCCUUCAUGCAGGAGAACUGGAUGAGCAGGUGGCGAGGGAAGCCGCCACGGCUAGCGGCGGCGCUGCACAGGAACGUCCACCUCCAGGAUUUUACUACUGCUAUGGACAAAAGAAGUCUAAAGCUGGGAAAGACAACAACGUCAGGAGCCAACCAAGGGGAGACUCCAGGCAGAGAGAGGAAAGCUGCGCAAGUGCCCCUGGAAGCGAGGCAGCUCGGCGCCGUCGCGGAAGAGGAGCUACGCUUCCAUGGAGUAGAGCGACGAGGGGCUCCGACGUCGCUGUAGAGGAGGGAGGAGAUCCGCCGCCACUGCACCUCACAAUUCGACAGGAACCUCUCUGGAUGAUUCUGUCAAUUCGGGUGUUAUGCAUUUUUGAAAGUGUUGUGCAAUGGCAGAAAUUGGCAAGAGGAUACCUCAAGUUGGUAUGA